rnacentral:rRNA from 1 species
GAUGAACGCUGGCGGCGUGCCUAAUACAUGCAAGUCGAGCGAACAGACGAGGAGCUUGCUCCUUUGACGUUAGCGGCGGACGGGUGAGUAACACGUGGAUAACCUACCUAUAAGACUGGGAUAACUUCGGGAAACCGGAGCUAAUACCGGAUAACAUGUUGAACCGCAUGGUUCAACAGUGAAAGACGGUUUUGCUGUCACUUAUAGAUGGAUCCGCGCCGCAUUAGCUAGUUGGUAAGGUAACGGCUUACCAAGGCAACGAUGCGUAGCCGACCUGAGAGGGUGAUCGGCCACACUGGAACUGAGACACGGUCCAGACUCCUACGGGAGGCAGCAGUAGGGAAUCUUCCGCAAUGGGCGAAAGCCUGACGGAGCAACGCCGCGUGAGUGAAGAAGGUCUUCGGAUCGUAAAACUCUGCUAUUAGGGAAGAACAAAUGUGUAAGUAACUAUGCACGUCUUGACGGUACCUAAUCAGAAAGCCACGGCUAACUACGUG